UCCUCUGUAGAUCAGUGGUAGAUCCUCUCCGCUGUAAUCUCACGGUUGUGGAGAAGUCGUGGGUUUGAUUCCCACCCGAGGCA